rnacentral:lncRNA from 1 species
GAGAGGCAAAACCCAAGUGCAGUGACUGACCUCCUCUGCAGUAAGAAAGGGCUUUAAGAAUAUCCAGAAGAAGGGGAAAGUUUGUGAAGGAAAAAAAAGAAUAUUGCAACUCACUGCUAGAGGCGUUAAUACGACGCUAACGAACCGUAGCCUUUCCAGAGCAUAGCUGGCAACAUUAGCACCCAUCUGUGCUGAGUGGGAUGUGCAAGCAGAAGCCAGGGCCGAGCAGCCUCCACCUGUUUGCAGAAAACCUUGCAUUUCCUGUGAAGGAGGAAGUCUGUGCUGUCCCCAUGGAAUGGGAAGGACUUGGAUGCUUCACUAAGACUUCUCCCUUCCCCCUUGAUGAGCAGUGCUCCUUUCAAGUGAAUGGAAGGUCUGGGAGUAAUGCAUACAAACACAGAGGCCGGGUCCUGUGUUGUGUGGAGGCGUGCAGCAAUCUGGUCUGGAUGGAGAAAAUACCUCAGAAAACCCAAGAGGAAUGUUUACUUUGA